CACGUAGGGGACGAGCGUUGUCCGGAUUCAUUGGGCGUAAAGCGCGCGUAGGCGGCUCGGAAAGUCGGUCGUGAAAUGCCGGGGCUCAACCCCGGGACUGCGUCCGAUACUCCCGAGCUGGAGGCAGGUAGGGGAGAUCGGAAUUCCUGGUGUAGCGGUGAAAUGCGCAGAUAUCAGGAGGAACACCUAUUGCGAAGGCAGCUCGCUGGGACGUUACUGACGCUGAGACGCGAAAGCGUGGGGAGCAAACAGG
rnacentral:rRNA from 1 species